UACGUAGGGUGCGAGCGUUGUCCGGAAUUAUUGGGCGUAAAGAGCUCGUAGGCGGUCUGUCGCGUCUGCUGUGAAAUCCCCGAGGCUCAACCUCGGGCCUGCAGUGGGUACGGGCAGACUAGAGUGCGGUAGGGGAGAUUGGAAUUCCUGGUGUAGCGGUGGAAUGCGCAGAUAUCAGGAGGAACACCGAUGGCGAAGGCAGAUCUCUAGGCCGUAACUGACGCUGAGGAGCGAAAGCGUGGGGAGCGAACAGG
rnacentral:rRNA from 1 species